GAUGAACGCUGGCGGCGUGCCUAAUACAUGCAAGUCGAGCGAACGGACGAGAAGCUUGCUUCUCUGAUGUUAGCGGCGGACGGGUGAGUAACACGUGGAUAACCUACCUAUAAGACUGGGAUAACUUCGGGAAACCGGAGCUAAUACCGGAUAAUAUUUUGAACCGCAUGGUUCAAAAGUGAAAGACGGUCUUGCUGUCACUUAUAGAUGGAUCCGCGCUGCAUUAGCUAGUUGGUAAGGUAACGGCUUACCAAGGCAACGAUGCAUAGCCGACCUGAGAGGGUGAUCGGCCACACUGGAACUGAGACACGGUCCAGACUCCUACGGGAGGCAGCAGUAGGGAAUCUUCCGCAAUGGGCGAAAGCCUGACGGAGCAACGCCGCGUGAGUGAUGAAGGUCUUCGGAUCGUAAAACUCUGUUAUUAGGGAAGAACAUAUGUGUAAGUAACUGUGCACAUCUUGACGGUACCUAAUCAGAAAGCCACGGCUAACUACGUGCCAGCAGCCGCGGUAAUACGUAGGUGGCAAGCGUUAUCCGGAAUUAUUGGGCGUAAAGCGCGCGUAGGCGGUUUUUUAAGUCUGAUGUGAAAGCCCACGGCUCAACCGUGGAGGGUCAUUGGAAACUGGAAAACUUGAGUGCAGAAGAGGAAAGUGGAAUUCCAUGUGUAGCGGUGAAAUGCGCAGAGAUAUGGAGGAACACCAGUGGCGAAGGCGACUUUCUGGUCUGUAACUGACGCUGAUGUGCGAAAGCGUGGGGAUCAAACAGGAUUAGAUACCCUGGUAGUCCACGCCGUAAACGAUGAGUGCUAAGUGUUAGGGGGUUUCCGCCCCUUAGUGCUGCAGCUAACGCAUUAAGCACUCCGCCUGGGGAGUACGACCGCAAGGUUGAAACUCAAAGGAAUUGACGGGGACCCGCACAAGCGGUGGAGCAUGUGGUUUAAUUCGAAGCAACGCGAAGAACCUUACCAAAUCUUGACAUCCUUUGACAACUCUAGAGAUAGAGCCUUCCCCUUCGGGGGACAAAGUGACAGGUGGUGCAUGGUUGUCGUCAGCUGGUGUCGUGAGAUGUUGGGUUAAGUCCCGCAACGAGCGCAACCCUUAAGCUUAGUUGCCAUCAUUAAGUUGGGCACUCUAAGUUGACUGCCGGUGACAAACCGGAGGAAGGUGGGGAUGACGUCAAAUCAUCAUGCCCCUUAUGAUUUGGGCUACACACGUGCUACAAUGGACAAUACAAAGGGCAGCGAAACCGCGAGGUCAAGCAAAUCCCAUAAAGUUGUUCUCAGUUCGGAUUGUAGUCUGCAACUCGACUACAUGAAGCUGGAAUCGCUAGUAAUCGUAGAUCAGCAUGCUACGGUGAAUACGUUCCCGGGUCU
rnacentral:rRNA from 1 species